UAGCUCAGUCGGUUAGAGCGUGGUGCUGAUAACACCAAGGUUGUGGGUUCAAUCCUCGU
rnacentral:tRNA from 1 species